GACGAACGCUGGCGGCGUGCUUAACACAUGCAAGUCGAACGGAAAGGCCCUGCUUUUGUGGGGUGCUCGAGUCGCGAACGGGUGUGUAACACGUGAGUCACCUGCCCUUGACUUUGGGAUAACUUCAGGAAACUGGGGCUAAUACCGGAUAGGCGCUCCCGCUGCAUGGUGGGGGUUGGAAAGUUUCGGCGGUUGGGGAUGGACUCGCGGCUUAUCAGCUUGUUGGUGGGGUAGUGGCUUACCAAGGCUUUGACGGGUAGCCGGCCUGAGAGGGUGACCGGCCACAUUGGGACUGAGAUACGGCCCAGACUCCUACGGGAGGCAGCAGUGGGGAAUAUUGCACAAUGGGCGGAAGCCUGAUGCAGCAACGCCGCGUGCGGGAUGACGGCCUUCGGGUUGUAAACCGCUUUCGCCUGUGACGAAGCGUGAGUGACGGUAAUGGGUAAAGAAGCACCGGCUAACUACGUG
rnacentral:rRNA from 1 species